rnacentral:rRNA from 1 species
ACGCUGGCGGCGGCCUAACAAUGCAAGUCGAGCGGAAACGAGUUAACUGAACCUUCGGGGAACGUUAACGGCGUCGAGCGGCGGACGGGUGAGUAAUGCCUGGGAAAUUGCCCUGAUGUGGGGGAUAACCAUUGGAAACGAUGGCUAAUACCGCAUAAUAGCUUCGGCUCAAAGAGGGGGACCUUCGGGCCUCUCGCGUCAGGAUAUGCCCAGGUGGGAUUAGCUAGUUGGUGAGGUAAUGGCUCACCAAGGCGACGAUCCCUAGCUGGUCUGAGAGGAUGAUCAGCCACACUGGAACUGAGACACGGUCCAGACUCCUACGGGAGGCAGCAGUGGGGAAUAUUGCACAAUGGGCGCAAGCCUGAUGCAGCCAUGCCGCGUGUAUGAAGAAGGCCUUCGGGUUGUAAAGUACUUUCAGCAGUGAGGAAGGCGGAGUCGUUAAUAGCGGCCUCGUUUGACGUUAGCUGCAGAAGAAGCACCGGCUAACUCCGUGCCAGCAGCCGCGGUAUACGGAGGGUGCGAGCGUUAAUCGGAAUUACUGGGCGUAAAGCGCAUGCAGGUGGUUUGUUAAGUCAGAUGUGAAAGCCCGGGGCUCAACCUCGGAAUGGCAUUUGAAACUGGCAGACUA